rnacentral:rRNA from 1 species
AUGCACGCUAGCUACAUGCUUAACACAUGCAAGUCGCGGGGCAGCAUGGUCUUAGCUUGCUAAGGCCGAUGGCGACCGGCGCACGGGUGAGUAACACGUAUCCAACCUGCCGUCUACUCUUGGACAGCCUUCUGAAAGGAAGAUUAAUACAAGAUGGCAUCAUGAGUCCGCAUGUUCACAUGAUUAAAGGUAUUCCGGUAGACGAUGGGGAUGCGUUCCAUUAGAUAGUAGGCGGGGUAACGGCCCACCUAGUCUUCGAUGGAUAGGGGUUCUGAGAGGAAGGUCCCCCACAUUGGAACUGAGACACGGUCCAAACUCCUACGGGAGGCAGCAGUGAGGAAUAUUGGUCAAUGGGCGCAGGCCUGAACCAGCCAAGUAGCGUGAAGGAGGACUGCCCUAUGGGUUGUAAACUUCUUUUAUAAAGGAAUAAAGUCGGGUAUGGAUACCCGUUUGCAUGUACUUUAUGAAUAAGGAUCGGCUAACUCCGUG